GAUGACGCUGGCGGCGUGCCUAAUACCUGCAAGUCGCGCGAGCGGCGGACGGGUGAGUAAUGUCUGGGAACCUGCCUGAUGGAGGUGGUUCACUACUGGAACCGGUAGCUAAUACCGCAUACCAUCCGAUGUUCCCAGAUGGGAUUAGCUAGUCGGUGGGGUAAUGGCUCACCUAGGCGACGAUCCCUAGCUGGUCUGAGAGGAUGACCAGCCACACUGGAACUGAGACACGGUCCAGACUCCUACGGGAGGCAGCAGUGGGGAAUAUUGCACAAUGGGCGCAAGCCUGAUGCAGCCAUGCCGCGUGUGUGAAGAAGGCCUUCGGGUUGUAAAGCACUUUCAGCGAGGAGGCGUUACUCGCAGAAGAAGCACCGGCUAACUCCGUGCCAGCAGCCGCGGUAAUAC
rnacentral:rRNA from 1 species